UGCCAGACUCCUACGGGAGGCAGCAGUGGGGAAUAUUGCACAAUGGGGGAAACCCUGAUGCAGCGACGCCGCGUGAGUGAAGAAGUAUCUCGGUACGUAAAGCUCUCUCAGCAGGGAAGAAAAUGACGGUACCUGACUAAGAAGCCCCGGCUAACUACGUGCCAGCAGCCGCGGUAAUACGUAGGGGGCAAGCGUUAUCCGGAUUUACUGGGUGUAAAGGGAGCGUAGACGGCAAUACAAGUCGGAAGUGAAAUACCCGGGCUUAACCUGGGAACUGCUUUGGAAACUGUAUGGCUGGAGUGCUGGAGAGGUAAGCGGAAUUCCUAGUGUAGCGGUGAAAUGCGUAGAUAUUAGGAGGAACACCAGUGGCGAAGGCGGCUUACUGGACAGUAACUGACGUUGAGGCUCGAAAGCGUGGGGAGCAAACAGGAUUAGAUACCCCAGUAU
rnacentral:rRNA from 1 species